rnacentral:RNase_P_RNA from 1 species
AGAGCCGGAAACAUGGCCGCUGGUUUUUCGGUUUGUUCGCAACACCGGAAUGCUGGAGGAAAGUCCGGGCAACACAGGGCAUGGGUGCUGGUUAACGGCCAGGCGGCGUGAGCCGACGGAGAGUGCAGCAGAAAAUAUACCGCCGAUGGUUUCUCCGGAAACACAGGUAAGGUUGAAAAGGCAGGGUAAGAGCCUACCGCAGUCUUGGUGACAAGGCUGGCAAUGUAAACCCCACCCGUUGCAAGUCCAAAUAGGACCGCUAUCAGGCUGCUCGUCUGGCGGUCGGGUAGGACGCUAGAGGCGGUCGGUAACGGCUGUCCCAGAUAAAUGGUCAUGGCUCACAUCUGUGAGAACAGAACCCGGCUUAUUUCCGACUCUGAUU